CUGGUACUCCUUCUGUCCGGAAAUACUUGUCAUUAAAAUGGAUGUAUCUAGAUAUAUUUUAGUUCUAGAUACAUUCAUUUUCAUCCAUUUUGAUGACAAGUAAUUUCGAACAGAGGGAGUAAGUC
rnacentral:pre_miRNA from 1 species